CAAAACAACGAAUUUGCUGCAGCGUCGGAAUAAGAACAACCCCACACACUGGUGGACGACAUGGAAAUUUAAAACCCAGAUAAGCGAGGUGAACUGAAGAAUUUAUGAUCUCUGAUUUCAAAGACGUGCAUGUGCUUAUCCUCACAAGAGACGGCUGUUGAAUGUGCUGCUGCCUCUCCCAUCUGACUUUUGGGUAGUGGGGUACACCCUGAACUGGUCACCUGCUAAACCAAGGGCAUAACCCAACAUUCACACCUAAGUGUCGCGGGCAAGCAAGAGGACAGGAGGAGGGAUAUACUGGAUGUACCGCCGAGGUGCCACUUUCUCUACCGCUCAUGGCUCGCGCAUGGCGGCCGUGUCAAAACCAGCUCUCAGCCUCAAUGCUAAAUGACAAAUUUGGAUAAUGCACACAUACGACCUUACUUAUAUAAAUGGCAGACAUGGAGGCUUAACUAAAGCUAAAUCCGGGCUCCUGGAUAGACCUGAGAGUGCGGAUUACAUCGCGGACGCCUUAAACAAUGUGCCCAAAUGUGCGUCCUUAAAAGCAUGAAAUCCUUGAAGCAUCACAGCUUACUUGUCAUUUGACAUUAAUACUCUAGGAUGCCUGUGCAUUGCACUUCUGUGUGCUGAGGCACCCUAAAAACAAACACUUGCAAAGCCCCGAAGGAACGAGCAUUGUGGAGACCUAUUUUGUCCAACUGUGGAUAUUCUAUGAGAGGAUAUUACAACAAA